CUGGUAGACUGCUAUUUAAAAGUACAGUCAAAUGAUUUAGUGUUAUAGUGGACUGCAAUUUAAUAAAAUUGAAAUUAAGAUUUUUAUUAAUAUUUUGUAUAUAGGUAUCCCUUAAUGAUUUAUAGCAUGGACAGAUUGAGAAGAAAUGGUAUUCAUCCUCAAUUUCUUGUCUGUUACAGGAUAAGCAAAUGCGUUUACUUCUUUCAAUGUUGGUAUAACGCCCUCUUUCAAUUGCUAGGGAAUGCGCACUUAGUUUAAAUUUACUGAAAACUGAUCGGUCGGUUUUGAAUUUACAUAUAUCAAUAUAUGGGGGCCUUUUUCUAAUUCUUUUAGUAUGACAAAAGAAAUUUAAUUUUUCACAUUUAUUGAUAGAACAAUUCAUAAUUUGAUAAGCCUGGUCAUAGAUUCUUUGUUGGAUACUAUUUAUGUGAUAUUUUAAAUUAAAAGUAUUAAAAGUGAGAUGACCAAAAACCUAAUUUAUUUAACCAGUCUUUUACAAUGUUAACCCAUUUACUUGUUUUCUCUACAUUAUUAUAUAUUUUAUGGACUAAAGUGUUAGGAGAGUUUACAAUGUGGUUUAGAAAUUUUAUAGCUGAAAGGUGAAUUUUAAAGUACAAAGGGAUUCUGUUUGUCUCAGUUAAACAGGCUACAUUUGUUGUUUUGCACUGUACUCCUAAAAUUUCUUUAAUAAAUUUAAUAUGUAAAUGUUCAAAUGGAUCUGAAUCUUUGAACACUUGGCUUACACCCCAAACUUCAC
rnacentral:lncRNA from 1 species